CACGCCGUAAACGAUGAGCACUAGGUGUCGGGGUCGCAAGGCUUCGGUGCCGCAGUUAACGCAUUAAGUGCUCCGCCUGGGGAGUACGCACGCAAGUGUGAAACUCAAAGGAAUUGACGGGGACCCGCACAAGCAGCGGAGCAUGUGGUUUAAUUCGAAGCAACGCGAAGAACCUUACCAGGUCUUGACAUCCCUCUGACAGUCCCUUAACCGGGAUCUCCCUUCGGGGCAGAGGAGACAGGUGG
rnacentral:rRNA from 1 species